AGCUCCAAUAGCGUAUAUUAAAGUUGUUGCAGUUAAAAAGCUCGUAGUCGAACUUCAGGCCUGGCCGGGCGGUCCGCCUAACGGCGAGUACUGUCUGGCUGGGCCUUACCUCUUGGUGAGCCGGCAUGCCCUUCACUGGGUGUGCCGGUGAACCAGGACUUUUACCUUGAGAAAAUUAGAGUGUUCAAAGCAGGCCUAUGCCCGAAUACAUUAGCAUGGAAUAAUAAAAUAGGACGUGUGGUUCUAUUUUGUUGGUUUUUAGAGUCACCGUAAUGAUUAAUAGGGAUAGUUGGGGGCAUUAGUAUUCAGUUGCUAGAGGUGAAAUUCUUGGAUUUACUGAAGACUAACUUCUGCGAAAGCAUUUGCCAAGGAUGUUUUCA
rnacentral:rRNA from 1 species